UACGUAGGGUGCGAGCGUUAAUCGGAAUUACUGGGCGUAAAGCGUGCGCAGGCGGCUUUGCAAGCCGGAUGUGAAAUCCCCGGGCUCAACCUGGGAAUGGCAUUCGGGACUGCAAGGCUGGAGUGCGGCAGAGGAGACUGGAAUUCCUGGUGUAGCAGUGAAAUGCGUAGAUAUCAGGAGGAAUACCGAUGGCGAAGGCAGGUCUCUGGGCUGAGACUGACGCUCAUGCACGAAAGCGUGGGGAGCAAACAGG
rnacentral:rRNA from 1 species